rnacentral:lncRNA from 1 species
AGUUUAUCUAUUUUUGAAUGUAAAUUUUUUUUUUUUUUUUAACAAAAAGUUUGAUUUGAAUAAAUGGAUUUUGAAAGAGGAGAACAACAAAAUGGAGAAGGAUAAGAACAUAAAAGAGACGAGAUCAGUGGGAUAAUGAAAAGGUUUGGUGAUGACCUCAUGCAUGUAGAUAUAUAUAUCUACGUUAUUUGUUUUUAGGGUAAUAAUGCAACAUAUACGCCAUUUUAGGCAAUCUCUUUCUGAAAAAGAUGUUUAGCAUUUAUAUACGAAACGACUGGAUUAUUAAAGAUACGAGAAGAAAAUAGUUAGGAAAAAAAAAAAA